UCCCCUAUGUGUGAUGCAUGGUGUCUGU
rnacentral:piRNA from 1 species